rnacentral:rRNA from 1 species
CCUGACCGGGGGAAUUUGCGCCACCUCCUCUUCACGAAGCUGCACGAACGAUACAAGUUCCCCGCUGAAUUCGAAAACACAAGCCUCAAAGGGAAUAAAGUGAACAAUGCUGCCCUCACGAAGAUGAGCAAGGCCCUGUCUACUUGGAAAAGCAAUGUGAAGAGAAUGAUCGAGAAAGGUGAGAGUUAUGAGAAGAUCAAGGAGAAAAAUCCUUCGAUCACCGAAGAUGACUACAACGACUUCAAGAACAAUUGCUCGAGCACCGCAAGCUCCCAAUCAAGUGAGUGGGGGAAACAAAUGCGGGAGCUGAACAUAGGGGAACACACACUCGGUCCCGGCGGUUACAGAGUGGCGGAGCCUAUAUGGGACAAGGAGGAGGCGGACCGUGCCGAGCAAGGCCUACCGCCCCUCUUCGAUAAAUACGGUGACAAGCAGACCAGGAACUUUGUCAGGGCCCGGUACAAGAAGGACCCGAAAACAAAGGAGCUUACCACGGAUCCGAAGACCAGGCAGCUUGAGCUUGUUCUGGUAAGGAAUACACCCCCGCGUAAUUAG